rfam:Trypanosoma cruzi strain CL Brener tcruzi_1047053468131, whole genome shotgun sequence.
GGGGAUGUGCGGCGACAUCUGAGGUGUAGUAUAGGUGGAAGCGCAAGCACAAAUGAAAUACCACCACUUGGAACGUUGCUUCACUUAUCGAAUGAAGAGACCAAUGGGUUUCGCGUAGUCUGUGGGCUAUGCACCGUCUAGGUUUGGGAUCUUUUAUGGCGGCGACCCC